CCUUUCAAGUGGGGAGCUGCAGUUUGAACCUCACAAAACCUCCGAGGGGAAAAGCUGGAAACAAUGCCCCAUGGAUUGAAAGAUCAGUUCCCUGUGUCCUUUUCUCUCACAACUUAAAUAGAUCAUUCACACAUAUUCUGUAUGCAAUAUCCAUACAUUUAUCCUCAGGAUGUAUUGAUAUGCAGUUAAAUGGUAAGUAGGAAGCUAAAGUCUUAUCAGACUCUUGAGAGCAAUCAGUUUAAUGUAGAUUAUGUUGUAUUCAUUCUGUCGAUGAACAAUAUCCAAUCAUGAACUUCAUAUUGAAUGUGUGGUACGAUCUAGGAAAUUGGAAACGUGUGUCCUGAAACAACCAUGGACUCAUUCCAGCAUCAGGGUCCAUCUCCCUGGUCACGUCCGGGAGGCAUGCUUUUGGUGGUAAAGUGGCAGGAAAUGUGAUGACGAUGGGAAUUGAAUCAUUGCAUUUCCAACAGCUAUGUGGGGUAGUUCAUGAAUAAGCUCAACAUUGAGCACAUGCUCAUGAGAUAAGCGUGUGGCCGGAGUCUUUUUCAAUCGGCGGUCCUGCGGCAACAGCAUGAUGGCAGCGGUAGAAACGAUGGCAUGGCGAAGGUCCGGUAACCGGACGACCCGCUGUGGUUAUUCUUCCUUUAUUCAGGCUACUUCAUUUCUGCUUGAUUCCCAUUUACCUUCACAUGGCCUGAUGACAUUUUUAUGCAGGUUUCCAUGAUUACAGAGCACAGGUCUCCUGAUCAGAACCCAUCAAACACGUUUGGGAUGAAUUGGAACGCUGACCAGACCUUACCACUGUUGACUAAAUAAACGUGUUUUUUGUGUUGGUAAUAAUAGAAUGACUUAUUAAGGGGAGAUAAAACGCUUUUGAACAUUUCAAAUUCAUGAACGGAAACACAAAAACGUUUUUUUUAGCAAUUUAUCCAAAACGGAAUAUUUAUUAAAAUAUUAGAUGGAGCUGGAGGCACUUCUAAUUCUCUACUCAUUCUGUACCUUCAUUUACUUUGCAUGGCUAGUUAAAUCUUGUUAAAGGAGGAUGUAUGGCAAAAAAACAAAAGUCACGAGUAAUGAUAAUACACAGAUUCAUAGCAUAAUUCAUUUUCUUUCCUAUUCUGUUCAAUUGGCAGUUGAUACAAUAUCAGAUAUUCACUAUGGUUGUAUUACACGGUUUCAUGUAAGAUCAUUUUCAUUCUGUAUCACGUUGAGUUGGACAUCUUAAAUUGCAAUUCCUCAUGUGAUUGAAUCACUAGAUAAAAUAAAAUACACUUUUACACAUUAUCAAUUUGACCCCAUUUAUCCUUUCAAAUCUCUUUACAUUGAUAUUUGUGUAAUAUAUGUUUUCAUAACCAAAGAACCGUACGAUCCAUUUAGGAACUGGAAGGAAAAAAAAUAACCUUUCUUUUUCAGAAGAAGAAUUUAUUCAGUUCGUACUUUAGGAAGCUGGGGGGAUAAAUAUCUGUCACAAUGUGUUCUGUCAUGUGAAAAAAAGAGGAUGUUUUUUGCCCCACAGCGCACUGGAACAGUGAGUGGGAAGCGUCUUUGACCACAUCUCCUCGUUCAUUCCUUAUAGGAUUAAAGUGGUGUUGAAAGGGAUUAAGUGGCUUGGGUAACAGUUUCCCCUCCAAAAUAAAUACGCAAUUCCACUCAAGAACACACUGAUAUGCAUCAAAAUCCUAUGAUUACGACGCCAAGUGCUUACCCAAAGGUAACCUUUAGUUACCUAAAUUGCUGAAUUUAUUUGUCAUUAUUGACUGUUCUGCCACCAGGUUUAAUUUCCACAUGUUAGACCAGCCCGGGAGAAGCGUAAUGCAGUACCAGAAGUUCCCACAUUGACACAACAAAUUGCACAGCUGCAGAUAGCCAUCCUCAUGUCGACGGAGGCAUCUGCAAGCGGUAAGAUAAAAGACGGGACUUGAUCCAAAAGUUCUCCACAGAAGGAUGAGCUCAUGCCGGCUCUCAGCGGCGUGCGGCUCGGCGCCGUUGAGACUUCUUUUCUGACAGAAAUGUGAGCCCAGCUCUGUAAUCCCCUCCUUGCAAAAGGCCUCUGUCUGCUGGUUACAAACCUGCAGUUUGAACGUGUCGCCUGUGAGAUGUGGAUGGCUUCUGAUAGUCUGAAGAGUACAGAUAGCAGAGCCGCAACACGAUAUCGCAACGUCGGCCUCUCCAUUUAUUUAUUCUUUGGAAAUGAGAGAAAUUUUAAUACAGCCAUUUGACGAAGUGCAGCUUGCAAUGCAUUGUUUAAAAACUGCUUAAUUCAGAGUCCAGAGUGAAUACUUCUUCUAAAAUCUGUUUCUAUUAACUAAAUGUGUUUCAUAUCUGUGGGAUAAAGCUUUGCAAAAAAUAAAGAAAGAUACUUUAA